AGAGUUUGAUCCUGGCUCAGGAUGAACGCUAGCUACAGGCUUAACACAUGCAAGUCGAGGGGAAACGACAUCGAAAGCUUGCUUUUGAUGGGCGUCGACCGGCGCACGGGUGAGUAACGCGUAUCCAACCUGCCCAUCACUUGGGGGAUAACCUUGCGAAAGUAAGACUAAUACCCAAUGACGUCUCUAGAAGACAUCUGAAAGAGAUUAAAGAUUUAUCGGUGAUGGAUGGGGAUGCGUCUGAUUAGCUUGUUGGCGGGGUAACGGCCCACCAAGGCGACGAUCAGUAGGGGUUCUGAGAGGAAGGUCCCCCANAUUGGAACUGAGACACGGUCCAAACUCCUACGGAGGCA
rnacentral:rRNA from 1 species